rnacentral:rRNA from 1 species
AUUGAACGCUGGCGGCGUGCUUAACACAUGCAAGUCGAUCGGUAACAGGUGUAGCAAUACAUGCUGACGAGAGGCGGACGGGUGAGGAAUAUUUGGGAAUCUGCCCAUCAGCGGGGGACAACCCGGGGAAACCCGGGCUAAUACCGCAUACGCUCUACGGAGGAAAGCCGGGGACCGCAAGGCCUGGCACUGAUGGAUGGGCCGAAAUCGGAUUAGCUAGUUGGCGGGGUAACGGCCCACCAAGGCGACGAUCCGUAGCUGGUCUGAGAGGACGAUCAGCCACACCGGAACUGAGACACGGUCCGGACUCCUACGGGAGGCAGCAGUGGGGAAUAUUGGACAAUGGGGGAAACCCUGAUCCAGCGACGCCGCGUGGGUGAAGAAGGCCUGCGGGUUGUAAAGCCCUUUCGGUAGGGACGAAAGCUCUUGCUCUAAUAAUGCAAGAGGUUGACUUAACCUACAUAAGAAGCACCGGCUAACUCUGUGCCAGCCGCCGCAGUAA